GUGCUCACAUCAGCAGCACAUAUACUAAAAUUGGAACCAUACAGAGAAGAUUAGCAUGGCCCCUGUGCAAGGAUGACAUGCAAAUUCGUGAAGCAUUCCAUAUUUAA
ensembl:snRNA U6 U6 spliceosomal RNA